rnacentral:lncRNA from 1 species
GCAGGAGCUAACGAGGCCUGCUGUUGCUCAGGGCUGGGGGGAAGAGAACGCUGUGACUCGGCCCCGGGGACCUGUGAAGGAGGUUCGGCCGGGGUGGAAGCCGAGCAGUGGACACCAAACAGGGGUCUCUACCCAAGAUCCGUGAGGCCACCCUGGGGUGGCUGUAUAGAAGACUGCUAGUCACCCCGAUAUCUUUGCCGUCCUUAGCAAUGCAAACCCCAAUUUAAGGAUACCCUGCUUUCAGGUGGGUGGAAGCCUAUGUUUGUCUCACUACACCGCGACUCCGCGAGGAGCGCCCUGCAGGCUGGGAUGCCGAGGUGAGGCCAGCUGCUCGGGCAGCCUGCGGUGCACAUCGGAGGGCAGGGCGGGCAGCAGAGCAGCCGUGGGAGAGGGCUGAGCCUGACUUCCGUCUGGGCGUGGCGUAGCACGGAUCCCCUAAGUUUAGCUGGGUGCUUUCCCCCUCUUCCCGUGCAAUCAGGUGUGACUACGUACCUAAAUGUCUGCAGAAACCUUAUUCACGGCCUCUAGAAAUUGUCCUUCAAGGGGAGGAGCAUGGUCUCCACUAGGGACUAAAUUGAGUCUUCCCUGAAACUCAUACGAAGCCCACCUCCCCCCACUCCCGCAUGUUGGUGUUUAGAGGUGAAGCCUCUAGGAGGUGAGGCUUAGAGGGGUCAUGAAGGGGGGCCACAUGAAGGCAUUAGCGACCUCACCAAAGAGAAGAAGUGGCCAGAGCUCUCUGCCUCAUGGGGACUUGCGCGCCAGGAAGGUCCCACCUCCAGAACUGAGCGCUUGCCUGAGCCCCUGAGCCCGUGGCUACGGCGGCCUGACAGACGGAGUCCCCUGGGUCCCUUCCUCUUUCCUGCUGCCUGAAGAGCCCCAGAAGCCAUCUGAUCCAUCAGGAGCUCGUGAUGCCAGAGCCCUCUGAGGACCAGGUGCUCCGGUGGGGCCUGCAGCGUGACACCGACCGUGGUUUGCACGAUGUUCUGAGUCAGAACCUGCAUGGAAACCCUGAGCCUUGUCUGUCUGAGGCUUUGAUUUUCCAACACAAGAAAACAGUGAUUAUUUUGCCUGAAAAUUCCCACCCCAGCUGAAUUACAUUUUCUUGUUCUCAUUUUCCUAGAUUGGGGGUGUCUCCUGAGGCUGUCCUAACUUAUUGUCACAUAUGUGGUGGCCUGCCUCGUGGUUCUGGAGGCCAGACACCCAAGGCCCGGCAUCCGCAGGCUGCACUCCCCCAGAAGGCGCCAGGAGGAUCUGCUUCUCCUGUCUGUGGCGGCUCCAGGUGCCCUGUGGCUGUGGCCACAUCACUCCAGCCUCCCUCCAUCAACACGUGACCUCCGCCUCUGGGUUUCUCCUCUGUGUGUCUCUUAUAAGGCCACAGUCAUUAGCGUUGAGGCCCAAGGGGAUGAUCCAGGGUGACCUCAUCUCAAGAUCCCUAACUCAUUACAUCUGCAAAAUCCCUUUGCCCAGAUAAAGCCACAUUCAAAGAUUCCAGGGUGUUGACAUGGCCAUGUUUGGGGAACCAUUUAUGGAGCCUCACUGUGAGUGAUCCCAGUGAGCACAAGCAUGCCCUUGGCUAAGGUCUUCGAGGGUCUGUGGGAAGCUCCAGGAGCCUGUGGUGGUCCAGAGAGUCUCCCAGGCCCCUUCCCAGGGGCUGUGGCAGAGGGGCCAGCCAGUCCCUCCUGCAGUCCUGCCCCACUACCUCCUCACGGGAGCACCCUGAGCAAGAGAGGAAAUCUGGCCGAGUUGCAGUUUCCUCCUCUGUAAAGUGGAAAUAAUGCAGCCUAUCUUGUGUGGUUGCUGUGCAGAGGACCAAAU